rnacentral:rRNA from 1 species
UUUAAAUUGAGAGUUUGAUCCUGGCUCAGGAUGAACGCUGGUGGCGUGCCUAAUACAUGCAAGUCGUACGCUAGCCGCUGAAUUGAUCCUUCGGGUGAAGUGAGGCAAUGACUAGAGUGGCGAACUGGUGAGUAACACGUAAGAAACCUGCCCUUUAGUGGGGGAUAACAUUUGGAAACAGAUGCUAAUACCGCGUAACAACAAAUCACACAUGUGAUCUGUUUGAAAGGUCCUUUUGGAUCGCUAGAGGAUGGUCUUGCGGCGUAUUAGCUUGUUGGUAGGGUAGAAGCCUACCAAGGCAAUGAUGCGUAGCCGAGUUGAGAGACUGGCCGGCCACAUUGGGACUGAGACACUGCCCAAACUCCUACGGGAGGCUGCAGUAGGGAAUUUUCCGCAAUGCACGAAAGUGUGACGGAGCGACGCCGCGUGUGUGAUGAAGGCUUUCGGGUCGUAAAGCACUGUUGUAAGGGAAGAAUAACUGAAUUCAGAGAAAGUUUUCAGCUUGACGGUACCUUACCAGAAAGGGAUGGCUAAAUACGUGCCAGCAGCCGCGGUAAUACGUAUGUCCCGAGCGUUAUCCGGAUUUAUUGGGCGUAAAGCGAGCGCAGACGGUUUAUUAAG